CGAAGUUAGUGGUGUGUUUGUUUGUGUGGCAGCGCUUUGAGUGCUGUGACCAUUGCUGAGUGUCGUAGUAGGAGAGGCGCAUGGGGUAAGAAUUGGGCAGACGCACUCCAAGCUGCACGAGAAGAUGUCCGAGGUCAGAACCGAACGCUGCAGGAGGACUCGAGUCUCCAGUACUGCUAAGUGAGCUAACCAACGCACACUUUUGUAUUCCUAUUGACCACUGAAAGCUUUACAGGACAAGUCAAAUUCACCCAUU
rnacentral:lncRNA from 1 species